rnacentral:lncRNA from 1 species
CCCACCCUGAUCCCAGGGGCGGGUGCGAGUCGGGUGACCGCGCUUUCGCCUCCCGCAGCCCGCGGGAGCCGCGUCAGGGCAGAGGCGGGGUGGGGCGCGGUUAAAAGGCGCUGCAGGUGGGAGCGGGGCCUUCACCCCGAGCCAGGCCGACAGCCCGACUCCCACUCGGUCACCACCCGCCGGAGAGCGGCGGCGCGGGAGCCGACCUGUCGGUCCCACGGGAGAGGAGGGCGCCGUCCCGCGCCCAGAGCCCGCGUCCCCGCGAACAGGUGACAUCCUUGCUGACUUCAGAAAGCAAAGAAAGAUUCUAUUUGUAUCCCCACUGCGGACAGCUGACUUCUGGGCAAUCAGGUGGUGGAGGAGAAGAAAGUCAGAAGCCUUGAAGAGGGACCUUGCCCUCAUUUCUUCCAGCCUGACUCCUGGGAGUCCUUAGCAAUAGGCUCAGGGACAAGAAAAUGUAAGACAAGUGGGCAGAAGGACAUUGGUGACUCCAUCGUACCUCAAAAGUGUAUGAAAAAUUGCCUGAGUGCAUUCUUCUGAGGCAAGUGUCUCCCAUUUUCCAAAGUUUCUCAAAGGAUCCAUCAUUCAUCUUGU